GAGCACUGUUUCGGCAAGGGGGUCAUCCCGACUUACCAACCCGAUGCAAACUGCGAAUACCGGAGAAUGUUAUCACGGGAGACACACGGCGGGUGCUAACGUCCGUCGUGAAGAGGGAAACAACCCAGACCGCCAGCUAAGGUCCCAAAGUCAUGGUUAAGUGGGAAACGAUGUGGGAAGGCCCAGACAGCCAGGAUGUUGGCUUAGAAGCAGCCAUCAUUUAAAGAAAGCGUAAUAGCUCACUGGUCGAGUCGGCCUGCGCGGAAGAUGUAACGGGGCUAAACCAUGCACCGAAGCUGCGGCAGCGACGCUGAUGCGUUGUUGGGUAGGGGAGCGUUCUGUAAGCCUGUGAAGGUGUGCUGUGAGGCAUGCUGGAGGUAUCAGAAGUGCGAAUGCUGACAUAAGUAACGAUAAAGCGGGUGAAAAGCCCGCUCGCCGGAAGACCAAGGGUUCCUGUCCAACGUUAAUCGGGGCAGGGUGAGUCGACCCCUAAGGCGAGGCCGAAAGGCGUAGUCGAUGGGAAACAGGUUAAUAUUCCUGUACUUGGUGUUACUGCGAAGGGGGGACGGAGAAGGCUAUGUUGGCCGGGCGACGGUUGUCCCGGUUUAAGCGUGUAGGCUGGUUUUCCAGGCAAAUCCGGAAAACUAAGGCUGAGGCGUGAUGACGAGGCACUACGGUGCUGAAGCAACAAAUGCCCUGCUUCCAGGAAAAGCCUCUAAGCAUCAGGUAACAUCAAAUCGUACCCCAAACCGACACAGGUGGUCAGGUAGAGAAUACCAAGGCGCUUGAGAGAACUCGGGUGAAGGAACUAGGCAAAAUGGUGCCGUAACUUCGGGAGAAGGCACGCUGAUAUGUAGGUGAAGUCCCUCGCGGAUGGAGCUGAAAUCAGUCGAAGAUACCAGCUGGCUGCAACUGUUUAUUAAAAACACAGCACUGUGCAAACACGAAAGUGGACGUAUACGGUGUGACGCCUGCCCGGUGCCGGAAGGUUAAUUGAUGGGGUCAGCGCAAGCGAAGCUCUUGAUCGAAGCCCCGGUAAACGGCGGCCGUAACUAUAACGGUCCUAAGGUAGCGAAAUUCCUUGUCGGGUAAGUUCCGACCUGCACGAAUGGCGUAAUGAUGGCCAGGCUGUCUCCACCCG
rnacentral:rRNA from 1 species